rnacentral:rRNA from 1 species
CCUACGGGCGGCAGCAGUGAGGGAUAUUGCGCAAUGGGCGAAAGCCUGACGCAGCGACGCCGCGUGGGCGAGGAAGGCCUUCGGGUUGUAAACUCCUUUUCUGGGGGAUGAGCAAGGACAGUACCCCAGGAAUAAGUCUCGGCUAACUACGUGCCAGCAGCCGCGGUAACACGUAGGAGGCGAGCGUUAUCCGGAUUUAUUGGGCGUAAAGCGCGCGCAGGUGGCUUCGUAAGUCGGACGUGAAAGCCCCUGGCUCAACUAGGGGAGGCCGUUCGAUACUGCGGGGCUUGAGGUCGGGAGAGGGGUGUGGAAUUCCCGGUGUAGUGGUGAAAUGCGUAGAUAUCGGGAGGAACACCAGUGGCGAAGGCGGCACCCGGGCCCGCACCUGACGCUGAGGCGCGAAAGCGUGGGGAGCGAACGGGAUUAGAUCCCCUUGUAGU